rnacentral:tRNA from 4 species
AGCGGGUUGGUGGAACGGUUUACCACGCCUGGCCCAUAACCAGGAGGACUUGGUUCGACUCCAGGACCCGCAACCA